rnacentral:lncRNA from 1 species
AGAGAAACUUUCUGAAAUCUGUAACUGAUUUCCCUGGUCUGACUUUGGGAUUUGGAGUCUUUGUGAAAAAAAAUCUAAACCCUACCACACAAUCACUAGCAUUUAAGAAAAAAUAAUAAGAAAAUAAAUGGGUUUUUUGCUUCUCCUGAUUUCUGUGAGGAGCUCCAUGUUCAGCACCUGACUGAUCUACCAGUUUGGAGGGGGGACCCUUUAUGUCCUUUUAAAGGGAGUCUGAGUCAUUUCCUCUGCUGGAGAAUGAACAGUGCUGAGACUGUGCCCUAAGCCCUGCAGUGACACUUCGAGGGAUGGCGAGAGCCCCAUGGGAAAGCUUUCUGCUGGAGCUACUAGAGAUAGAGGAAGAAAUAUCCCCUUCCUACGUGAAUCCACGGACCAGGAGUAAAGAUAAGGGUGAUGUGAAUGAUCUCUUCUUGCAUAUCCCCUUCCUAUGCACCCUUUUGAUCUAAUUUACAUUAUUAUUUGUUUCAGGGUGACCAGUCUCCCUGACCUUGCCAUGGAGGUCUAUUGAAGUUCACUUGUCGACUUCAUGCACAGGAUUUCAACCCAUGUCUGUGAUUAGUGAUGAAAUGAAAUUCACAGCUUGGAAUCAUUUAUUCAGCAUAUCCAUAUCCAAUAUCCAUAUCCAAAUACAAACAUCCUUUGUGCUUGAAAAUUAAUCAGGGCUGGAGGCAGCUAGCCUGCUGCAGAGGUUUGUGAUAGAUUAAUGAGCUGAGAACAAGCUGCCACCUCCACCCCCAUCAUCAGUGACUUUCCAGUCAGAGGAAAGGGAUGUUGAGCUAGAGGUGGAUAUAUUCUCUGAUAAGUGUGGCAGUGGGAGGUGAGAAAUAAGAGCUCCAAGUGGAGUAGGAGGGGGAAAAAAAAGGCAAGCACUGUCCUCUGUUAAGCAGGGUACAGUUUAGACAGCAGCUGCCUGACAGUCUUCUGGCAGGAGGGUCAGGGCAGGAGCAGCCCUGUGCUCGCAGCACCUGUUAUUGAAUGCUACCCGCAGGUACCAGGGCAGCAGAGACCGUGAUUUUCCGACUUCUUCCAGUCACAGGGGAAGGUCAGGGGCCUGUGAGACGAAAGGAGAUGAUGAAAUGGCUGACGAGGUCUGCCCUCAGUGAGAUACAGUAACACCAGUGCAGAAGGGCUCAUAUCCCAGAGGCUUUUUGGGGUUAAAGACGAAAAUAAAGUCUGAGUUUGAGUGUCA